AAAAAUUAAUUCAUCAAAAUAUACAAAAAUAAUAUAAUACUUUGUUUUAGUCACCAGCAAAAGGAACAUAUCUGUAAUUGAAGUGGCUGAUAAAAGUAUGUUAGACAUUUCUGCAAUUCAUUCAUUUUUAAUCCAAUGAGACAGCUCCUCAAGUAUUGUCUGCUGAAAGACGGGUCUGGAGUAAGGUGUUCCACUCAUCUCAUUUGCACAGAAGGGACAAACUUUUGUUGGGAGCUUCAGCCCAGGAUGCUGCUCACCAGGUGCACCUUCCCUGUCUGUAAGGAAUCUGACCUGUUCCUCUUGGCUUUCAGGGAAUGCUGCAGGCUCCAUCUGUUUCACUGAGUUUUCAAAAUUAAGGUCAUCAAGGCAUAAACUAAGAGGUGGUGCUAGGACGUGAGUAGUGAUUCAAGCCUGGCCACUGGGUGCACAUUGUGAUGAACUCUGCAACGCUUCAUACCCAUGGGUCUAGAUUCUGCAAAACUCCUCUGGGAAGCUGUGAAGAGAAAUGCAAGUGGGAGAGGACUGCAGCUCCCUAGUGCUGUGAUCUCCUGUCUGCAAGACCACCUUCAUCUGAGGAAACAAAGCAUGCUGAAUUUGUCCUGCAGCCAUCACAUCAGGUGGAGUCAAGUCUCCUAACCUGGAGGGGGACUGGCAAAGUGGCUGGAGAAAUAAACCUGGAAAUGUUCUAACAACAGAAAUAAACCUGGAUGGUUAUUAACUCAAGGUUAUCUCCAUUAGUACAGAAGAAGCUGUCAUACAUAACUGGAGAAAUCCUUUGAAUCAUAACCUCGCAGGUAAGCCCUGAGAAAAAAAACAUUAUUUCAGUCUCCCAAUGAAACUGGGUGUGAGAAUUAUCUAUAGUUGAAAGCAGUUACUUGCAUUUUGUAAUUUGUUCUUUGCUUUUUA